AGAAAGAGAAAGAUAUCCAUUUUUCUAGAUCCGAAGACUUUCUUAUACUCAGGUUCAAUCUGCACAAAGCUCACCUCUACUUUCUGUCUUGGAUUUCUCUGCUUUGAGCAACACUUAUCUUCCCUUUCUGUUGAGCUAUUUUCAGUGUAUUUUUGUACCUUGCAAGUAAUGACUAAAUGGGGUACAAGGUAGGAAAAGAGGUAAGAGGUUUUAUGUGAAUUGUGGAAAGAUGGAUGGAGUUUCACAAAAAAGCAUCAAAAAAUUGGAGAGGAAGACAAAAAAGAAAAAGAAUUAAAGAGAAGGAAACACUCCUCACACAGGUGUUGUGGGAGACACCUGAUGAGAGGUGACUGGAUCACGGGGCCAGUUUCCCCCAUGCUGUUCUCAGGAUACUGCGUGAGUUCUCAUGAGAUCAGAUGGAUUUUUAAGGAGCUCUUCCCCCUUUGCUUCCUUCACACACUCUCUCCUCUGCCUUUUGAAGAAGGUCCUUGUUUCCCCUUCACCUUGCACCAUGAUUGGAAGUUUCCUGAGGCCUCCCCAGCUAUGUGGAACUAUAAACCACAAAUUCAUCUUCUUCCAUGCUUUGUGAUAAAAGAAUUGGGCCCUGAAACUUUCUUCUUUGCCACCCAGCAAGAUGUUCAUCCUUGUCAAUAGAGGAUGCUGAAGGGAGACUUGGGGAGAAAGGAGUUUUCUUUUUUUGGUUCAGGCGUGGCUCUCUUGCCAGACUCCAGCAGAGAGUGUUUUCUCUAUUGCUUGGCCCACAGUUUCUCCCGUGCUCAGUUCCUAAGGAAUGCUCCUUUCUCCAGUAUUUGGCUGCAGUGCAAUCCUUCCAGCUCUCUACUCAAGCAGUGGUGGUAUACCUGGGAGCCCAAGAGCAUGCAGGCUGGUGCCCCAGCCCAGGUCACUGUUCCAAACCUCAGGAACGUACAUGCCCAGGACUGCAUAAGGCUGGGCAUCUAGCAAGCUGGCCACCUGACUUUUAUCCCUGCAAAUGUCCUAGAGAUACUCUGGUCCAAUCCAAGCACAAAAGUGAACUAAACGCUGCAGAAGAAAGCCCCUCCAGCACCCAGUUCCACAAGUGCUCAGCAGCCCACAGCUUCCCUCAGCACCUAGAAAGUUCUGAGGCUCCAAAAUUUCCUGCAGUCAGCCUUCUCCAACAUCCCCGAGGAAGACUUCAGGCACGUUCUCCUAGCCCAACACUGCUGGGACUUCUCUGCCAGAGUCUGGCGGAUAAUGUGCUCCACCUGACCAACAAAAGGAAAAUAGCGUAUUCAAGAAGCAAGAAAUUCAACAAAGGAGUGAAUUAGAGGGAAUUCACAUCCUGCCUCCAGGUGAUGUUGAUAGGAGACUCAGGUUAACUACUAUGUUAGAGCAGGAAGAUGGAGGGCAAGAAGAACAUAGCUAAAAAAAACCCCAAAUCUGAUAGAUUAUGUAUUGUGUUUGAAGAUGUCAAGAGGGUAUGAAUAACUGAUUGAUCCACAGAAAAGUAAACAAAAAUAAUAGCUAUCAAUUCCAAGGAUAGUCAACACUGUAUGACAAAAGGACAUAAAAUAAAAUUAUGCCACAUGGCUCUGUGGUGACUAAUAUUUACAGUCAGAAUGCUGUCUACAGUAAUGAGCUAAUCAUAAUAUAUUGGGAUGAUGGAAGGAGGGGUGUAAGAGAGAUAAACCUUCACCUCUUCAUAACAGAAAGCCAUAGGUAAUGCAUAAAACUGAAAAAGAAAAUCAAGAAAUGGAAGUACGAGCAUUUUCUGUAAUGAUGAUAAAUACCAGAAGAAAUAACUAAAAGUAAAAUAAUUUUGCAAAGGGCAUAACGAUACCAUUGCAAUUCCCUGCCUGAUCCAUUCCCAUCUCCAGUGUCUUCUUCCCAGAGGAAACUACUUUCACUCUUUUAGCUAUUUCAUUUGGUAUUUACCACCAUAUUUCUAAAAGUAAAGAUUAAUUUUUUAAAGAAACAGACUGUAGUAUAUCUACCUAUCAUAGGCUCUAUUUCAUGGUAAGUAGCUGCUACUAGUUGCAUGUUGUUGUUAUUGUCGUUGUUAAAUGAAGAAAACUAAGUUGUGUUAUGAGCAUUGGAAUGCAUCAGGAGACACACCAUUAGAAUGGUCAAAUAUUUCAAAGUGCUGCCUAAGGAGCCCUUGGCACUCAUAGGCA
rnacentral:lncRNA from 1 species